rnacentral:rRNA from 1 species
AUUGAACGCUGGCGGCAGGCCUAACACAUGCAAGUCGAGCGAGCGGCGGACGGGUGAGUAAUGUAUGGGGACUGCCCGAUAGAGGGGGAUAACUACUGGAAACGGUGGCUAAUACCGCAUACUAUCGGAUAACCCAUAUGGGAUUAGCGAGUAGGUGGGGCACAGGCUAACCUAGGCGACGAUCUCUAGCUGGUCUGAGAGGAUGAUCAGCCACGCAGGGACUGAGACACGGCCCGUACUCCUACGGAGGCAGCAAUGGGGACAAUUGCACAGUGGGCGCAAGCCUGGUGCAGCCAUGCCGCGUGUAUGAAGAAGGCCUUAGGGUUGUAAAGUACUUUCAGCGGGGAGGCGUUACCCGCAGAAGAAGCACCGGCUAACUCCGUGCCAGCAGCGGCGGUAAUUC